CAUACAGCUCUAGUCAGAAGGAUGAAGGGCUGAGUUAUGCUGCUGGGAUUCAAAGCUGUGGUGCUUCGGAGCGAGUCCUGCAGAGCAGUUCUCCGAACGAGCAACAGUCUGAACAAUGGAACGAGCCUGGCAGGCUUGGACAUCUGGCUCAUCUAGUUUCUCUAGGCAGAGCUGCAUCAUCAGCUGAAAGGUGCCGUGUUUUCAAACAGAACUGAAAGUGUCAGACUGUAGAGAAGGGGUUAUGUGAACUCCAGCCACUGGGAGCCACACAGAUCAAGCACCAGUCGAUGCCAAAUAAAAGUUACAGCUCUGGGCUCCAGGGAGCUGGUGACUGGAGAUGGGACACAGAUGAAACAUGGACCCAACGCUGCCACACCAAGUCAGCUGUGCUGGGGUUGGAUUCCAGCUGCAUCCAGCCUUCACUAAGGGGAGAAGCCUACAAAGAAGUCAGCAGCAGCUCCGUCACUGAGGGAGGAGCAGAUUGCCAGCCACAUCAGAGCGGCUGCAAGAUCACUUACGGCCCAGAUGAUACAAAGUGAGCAGGGAUGAGGCCGUGGAGCACAGCAGCGAAAAGCCACUGCCUUUCUAAAAAGACCACCCCCAGCCAUCCUCCCAGCAGCAAGAUAGAAAGUUAAAAUAAACCCUCACUAAGGCGACCUGUCAUGGAGCAUGCUGAUGGUGCAUAAUCAGUAGAAAUAGGAUGAUGAUAAUCAUACAAGAAAUUAAGCAAAAUCCCCCAGAGGUAGUGACAAUUCUUCCUGACAGUAAACUACCCUACUCUGCUGGAGCAGGGAGACACUGACUUGGCAGCUGGAAAGACCCACCACGGCCAAACCUAACACUGAAAAGAGCAGCGAUAACCGUUACUGGAAAUCCAAAGGCAGUAACAGCCUGCAGCAACCUAGUACCUCCCUCAGACAUCACGAGAGUUGGAAAAGAUUCAUUAGAUGGUCUAGUCCAUCUUCCUGCCUCUGCACUUCACCCACUUUCAUCCCAGGCUAUAGACACAGGGAUCCCUCCACCCACCCCACAACAGGUACCAUGUCAUUACGCUCCCGAUGUGUCCAAAUGCUGGGCCCUGGCUGUGACCGCUUCCCAGCCUGAUCAGAGUAAAUAGACUUGAGAGCUCCUUUGGUGAGAUUUUGUCUGCUAUUCAGGAUUGGAGUAUGAUCGGCUCUCCCAUCCCUGCUAGAACCUAAGCCAGCUCCUAACAUUGGAUUUGUUUCGGUUCUGUUUCUUUAAAACUAAUGGUUUCAUUAGAAAGUUAUCAGGACUUUUACAAAGCACUGUCAUAUGAGCACUGGAAGUUAUCGCAUUAACUGUUACAAUACAGAACGUGGCACUUUUUGCUUAGAGAAACAUUCUGCAUCAAUACAGCCCCCAAGUUUUUCUGUUUAACAGGGCAGUACAACCAGGACAUGCCUGCAGGAAUUAAUUACCUUUUUCCCCUCCCCACAAUGACCAUCUUGAACCAAUCUAGUCUGAGUAUGGGGGUUUUCUGAGCAUUUUAUCUUUUGACGACAUCAUCCAGCUCUUUAACACUGGAAGGUACUUAGAGAAGAG